rnacentral:lncRNA from 1 species
AAAUGAUGCAUUAGCUAGUGAUAUACAUCUCCAGCAGGAUAGUGCAUAGAAGUGACCACAUCUUAUGAGUUUUCAGUUUUGAUCCAAUUAAAAAUAUUAAACUUCAGGUCGAUAAUUGGGUUAGAGAAAGAUACAGUUAGAGAUCAAGACUCCAGUAGGGGAUGUGAAGCAGUCACAGCAAAUUGAUUGUUAUGAGCCAAUCGUAAACUAGAAUAAACUCAGGCUCAUUUCUCCAUCAUUGUCCAUUAGGUUUUGUUGGGUGUACAAAAGGGUAUUAUCGGAAAAUAAUCAAAAUAUGCUGGGUUUAGUUAGUGAUUUUAUAAUUUCGCUGGGUGUUUUCAGUUUAUUGGGUCUAUUUAGUUAUUUGUUGGGUACAUUUUAUAUAUAUAUAUAUAGUAUUACUCACCCUAACAUUUGUUUGUUUCGUGGAGAUCAUGAAUAAACAUCAGGAAAGGAAAGUGCUUCAUUUCCUACGUUUGGGAAUGCAAAAGAAAAUGAACCAUUUUCUUAAGUGAAGGGAAAACGUGAGAGAAAGUAGUUCCUUCUAAAAUCCAAAAGAACCUACUUUUUUUUUUCUUUCUUUCCCAGCAUUUAUUGCUUACAACAUAAUAUUUUAAUGGCUAGUGUUAUUAACACACUCUUUGUCUUAUUAACACUAACCUAUUUUAAUAUAUAAAUUAACAACUUCUUCAAUAACUUUCCUUGUGUUACCAAACAACGCAACGAAAAGUUCUUAGAAAAUCUCAUUCUCACUCUCUUUCCCUUCCCACGGGAAAGAGGAAAAAACUACUUCUUUUCCACGAACCAAACAAGGCCUAAGAUUAACCAAUACUUAAUUAAUAGUAAUUAACUUUACAUAUUUUUUUUUUGAUAGAAUUAACUUUACAUAUAUGGUAUAAAUAUGUUUGCCAUGCAAUGAGUGCAAUCACCAUUAUCAUUUAUAGUAGUGGGAGCUGAUGAGCUUCUGGUUUUUUUUCCAUCCCCACAUCCGUGACAAUAGUUCUCUCCCAAAACAAAACAAAAAGAAUAUAUCAUAUAUAAAAGAACUGAUCGAUCAAAAAUUGAUAUAUAACAAGAAGAUGGCGAUCAACUUCUAGUGCGGCAUAAAUCAUCUUAAUAGCUCAUAGUAGUAUUAUUAGGUAUCUACUAAAGGUGAAUUCAUCAGCAGCUUCUAAAUGUUACAAUGCGUCGAUCAAAAACAUUACUCAAAGAACGUAUCAAAGGGAUUCCACAUUGAUCUACAGAUGUUAUGCGGAAGUUGUCAAGACCCACCCCAAAUUUCAUCCUAAAACUCGAGAUAAGUCCUGCGGGGUUCACCUCUAAGAAAAAUUUACCAAAAAAUCGGUAUAACCUCCCUUGAAAAUGAACAACCCUCACCUGAAAAAUCCAGAUAAACAUGUUACACCUCAUUUUAUAAUUUUUUUUUUUUUUUUUUAAGGUGUAACUCAUAUUUCAAUUAUAGAAUAGAAUUUCCAUAAUCAAAAUAAUAAAAAAAAUUGGAAAAGAACAACUCAACACCAACUAACUAAAAUUUUAUUCUUUAUUAUAAAAAGUGACUUACUGAGAUAGACUUAAGAAAGUCUACAUCUUAUUCUAAGGGAAAACCAACAACACACAUAUUUUAUAGGAAAUUAAAAAGAAACAUCCUUGCAAGAAACCAACUUCAAACAACUUGUUUAUUACCUACAAAAUAUUUAAAAGGGGUGAGCAUAAAUAGCCCAAUAGGAGGCAAAACCUUUUCAAACAAUACAAUACCAGUCAAAAUAGACAACAUGUAUGUAUAUGUAUAAUCUGCCCCAUAUAGUUCAUAUAACAAAAUACUUCAAGCCUANNNNNNNNNNNNNNNNNNNNAUACACACAAAAGAUUAAAACCAACAAUGCAGAAAAUCAGUUAAAAUUUCUAAGUCGUCACAAAACACUCCUAUCAUAAUCCAACCAUCCUCAACUCAUGGCGUCAUCCGCUACCCUCAAACACAUCCACCACAAAAUAACAAUAAAACCAUCUUCCAAUCCAUCAAAUAAAUAUCCAACUAAUAUAACAUACAUCACUCUUCGAAUAUUCUAAAAUGUAUUCAUAAGUCUUAACACACAACCGAGAUAUCAUACAUUAUCAAGGUAAUCAGAGCUACUAAACACUAGAGGAAGCAAAAAAAUAUACUGGUAGGUUAAACAGGUAACCUACUGGUGAAAAGUGGUGGAGAUAUGGGUAACUAUGUCUUGUCUCCUACUAGUACCGCCCUGAACUCUGUAGACUGGACAUUUUAAAACGAAAUGCCCAGGGGAAAACAAUCGAAAACAUUAGAGUGAGCGGACAAAAAUAAAAUGAUUAAAUAAAAAUAAUUAUGUUUUCCCAAUUUAAUUUCCAUAGAAAUUAUGCUGUAUGCGACAGCUCAAAAACUUUUAACUUAAAAGUUAACAAAAUUGUGACUAGCCUCGCUUGUCUCUCAUACUUUGUAAUAAAGAGCCUCUCAGGCUAAACUAUAAAUAUUUAUAUAUGUAUGUAUUUACACUCGUUAUAUUCCUUGUAUAAAUUCUAUGAAAAAAAUAAGAAAAAUAGAAAUUCAUACAAGGCUACGACGCUUGCGUCUAACGCUCACGUCGCGCCAUAAUGAAAUUUUACCUCAUUAUGACGGAAAAACACGUAUGGCUAGUUAGCAUUUAUAUACAUAUUAUCCUCAUAAUUAUCCAUAUAUAAAUAUAUAUUCACCGAAACUCUCACUUUCGGUUAUUCUCCAACAAUAAAUAAAAUCGUCAAAUUAAAAUGACGUUAUAUGCUCCAACCAAAAGAAAUUGAUCAACAAUAAACCAUUUGCAUGCAUAUUAUUUAAAACAAAAGUCCACUCACAAAUUUUAGGCCUAAGUCUGAUGUCGAUCUGAGGCAUCUUCUGCCCGAGCCUUCUUACGUCCUGUUCCAAAUAUAUAAUUAAAUCCCCAACUAAAAAUCAACACUUAUAUAAAAAUAGGCAAAAAUUAAAUGUGAGCUUUAACACGCUCAUCCUUGCCUAACUUCGUUAUUCUUAAUUUGAUACGGUCCAAACUUCACCACAAAUACCGGCAACAUUAAUAUAACCCUAUACAGUUUUAACAACAUUAAUCCAACGGCCGGAUUCUACCCCAUUAAUCACCAAAUCACCGAUCUUUGAAAAAUCCCAAAACUUAUCCAAAACUCCUCCAAAAUUCCAAACUUCACAUCAAUAGACUCCCCUUAAAAUAACACAUUUAAAACCCUGAAAAACCCCCUAACAGAGGCGUUUGCUCCGCCAGCCGACUCCGGCGACCGCCAAUGCCUACCAAAAUUUAACAGCUCUCAACCCACUCUACAACUUUCCUAACUAGCACAAGAUCCAAUUCCAAGCUUAACUAGGCCAAUCGAACAAAAACACAACCAAGAACCCUAGAAAUUCAACUCAACGUUUCUCCUUACCUAGCUCAAGAGGGAGUGAAUACUUUUGAGGGAUUGCCGCACGGGAGGAGAGCUUCCUAUUGAGCCAAGUAUCUUCGGCUAUGGCGGCCGGAGGAGGGAGUUCCGGCGACGGAUCACCACGGACAGUCGAACCUUUCGGGAGCGUUUUCUCUCUCACGGCGGCACUAGGGAGGCUGCCACCGGUCCAGGAAGGAAGCUAGGUCGAGGGCCGACCGUUUGGGACCGGUGUGGCGGUCGGAGUUGGCCAGACAGCGGCAGACGAGAGUGGGGAACUUCCGGCAACGAGAGAGAGAGAGAGAGAGAGAGAGAGAGAGAGAGAGAGAGAGAGAGAGACGANNNNNNNNNNNNNNNNNNNNAGAGAGAGAGAGAUAGAUCGUCGGGAAGGAAGAGAGAAAAGAGAGAAAAGAAAAAUGUUGGGCUUCCCCAACCGGUUCCUAACCCAUACCAAUAAAAACCCAACUCCAAAAAUUAACACCCCAAAAAUAAUACCCUAAUAAAAAUUACCUUUUACUAGCUAAAAUUUACUUUUUUCACCUUCUUCAAAUAUUUCUCUUACAAAUAAUUUCUCUGAUAUAAUCGUCCCUCAAAACACCUUUAGGAACCUUUGAAACUAUAAACUCAUUGACGAAGACGGUAAACCUCAUAUUAAUACUAAGCUAGUAAAUAAGGUAAAAAUUUAAGAGUCAAGAUGUAACAGAAGCGGCUGACGGGCCCCGAGGGUCCCACACACACAUGUCCAAUAAUGUUGAUACUCCCCUCACUUUAGUUACCCAGACAAGAAACGAGUAUGAAGUUUUUAACACAAAAUGUCUCAGCAUUAGUGUGUGUGGUACCAUUUGUUCGGGUCGGAUUUUAAGUCCUUCGAACAACCGUUUGGUGCGAGCAUGCCAACACCUUGAGGAGGUGUGCUUAUCUUGAUCAUGUUCUUUCGCGCACUUCUCUUGACUUUUUCUCAAACAACUGUGAACAGGAACGGUCGGUCCUGCUGCUAGAGCUAUUCACAACGACCUAGGACAGAUCCUUAGAUUUACUCAGUGACAAAUACAAAUAAAAUAAAGGAUAUUUGCUAAGGAUCGCUCCUUAACAAUGGGAUGGACUUGUGCUAGCCUGGAGAGGCUUUUUUGGUAGGUUGGGUGCUCCUGGGAGGCGUCCAAUUUGCAGUGAUGCAUAGUUUUGUUGAAUUUUCGGGGGGUGUUCUCAUUGGCCUUAACCUCCUUAUAUAGAGAACUGAGUGGCUAGGGUUCGCGAAUGACUUGUCUCCAAAGCAAUCGAAUCUCUAAUUGAACCGAGAAAGAUACUUUCCUAACCGAGCCUUCUGACAUUAUAUCUUCGAGAUAUCCUGCAAAUCUUCUGUCAGUAAUUACCCAAUGUAACAGGAAAGAAAUAAAGAUAAUUGGACCGUUUGCAUUGGUCCAUGGGCUAACUCACUUGUAAGCUAACAAAUAUAAAACUGGGCCCAAACACCAUUUUUUAUAACCCAAAGAUGACUCUUUAACGUUUCCGAUAUGGGAUUCCAAAUGGCUCAUAUAUAAGCCACACUUAUUUUCAAUAACAAAUUAAUAGCUAGUUUGGUGAGUUAAGCCCACUGUUUAGGUUUCCUCGACUAGCACCACACCGAUCAACAGUGCAAUGCACUGUGGUGUUAGGUCUUUGUUGUCAAAGAGUCCACCCUAUCUAGCCAGGUUAUCUAAUAAGUAGAACUGUAGAAUAUGGAUCCAUCAUUUCCUAUCCUUAAUUCAUCUUGAUUAUAUAUCAGUUUGUAGUAUCUUAAUAAUGGUCUUUUAGAUUUCUAAUUCUAGUAAUAUAUUGCCUAAGUUCAUUAUAUAUAUAUAUAUAUAAUUCCCUUCAAGAGUGGCAUACCUCUCUGAAAUUAAAAUGUGUGCUCCUCAUUUCGCUCAUUUUUAUGUCACAUUUUCAUAUCUCCACCGUUCAGUGUGUAGAUCAUUCCUGCAAAGUUUCAUCCAAUUUGGAGAUCAUUUGAGCUUCUGUAAUUGUGAUUUACACGAACGGUUCCGUUUGAACAGAUUUUGUUCAGUUGAUUCAUUUAAUCUAAUUCGGUACCCAAAUGAUUUCCAAAUUGGAUGAAACGUUGCAGGAAUGAUCUACACAUUAUGUUCUAGAAACUGAAUGGUGGAGAUGUGAAAAUGUAAUAUAAAAAUGAGCCAAAUAAGAAGUUUCACACUUUAAUCUCAAAGUGGUGUCCCGCUUUAGAUAGGAACUAUAUAUAUAGGCCGGAUCACAAAUGUAAUAGUCGCAACGGAUAUAAGGGUCGUAACAGAUCGAUGUAGUGGUUGUAACAGACGUAACAGUCCUAACAGUCGUAACCCCUUUCACUUCUCGUUCAGCCUCAAACUUCGAAACCAUCAUGGACUCAGGGCGGCGCGUGUGCACCACUAACAUGCUCGAUCGGAUGCGCCACCGCCACUAAGAAUUGCCCGACACCACCGUCUGGCAUUACCAAACCCAACUGAUACUCACACCGCUCGGAUAUUUUAUUUUUCCCUUGUGAUGUCCCAAAACGAGGUAGAAUACUAGAAUUCAAAUCUGAGACCUCGUACGUCAUAUUUUUUUAAAAUACAGGUUGAUUAAUUCUAUCUUGGCAAUUAAAUACCUACUAGAUUACCUGUUAAAAAAAAAAAACCUACUAGAUUAUUAUUUUCCAACAUUAGUCAUGAUGACCCUUGCCCUUUGGACCUUAUGAAGUUCCAAUUAAG